rnacentral:piRNA from 1 species
UGGGACCUGGGUCUGAAACGAGCUGAACUC